CGGUACACGCAAGGUAUCAGGCCGCAGCGUUGCUCUCUCGAGGGCAACGCGUUAUGCGUCGAGGCCGUNGCAAGCGCGCGCCACGGUACACGGAGGCUCAACGGACCUAGUGCCGUCACCGGUCCUGGCCCGCUGUUGGUCGCACGGUUAACCUUCGACAGGCCUACGAACGUCCCCGUGUCUCGCCCCUCCCCGGGGGCGGCGCG
rnacentral:rRNA from 1 species